rnacentral:rRNA from 1 species
UUGAACGCUGGCGGCAGGCCUAACACAUGCAAGUCGAGCGCGAAAGGUUUUCGGACUGAGUAAAGCGGCGGACGGGUGAGUAACGCGUGGGAAUCUGCCCAGUAGUGGGGGACAACAGCCGGAAACGGCUGCUAAUACCGCAUACGCCCUACGGGGGAAAGGGGGGGAUCUUCGGACCUCUCGCUAUUGGAUGAGCCCGCGUCGGAUUAGCUAGUUGGUAGGGUAAAGGCCUACCAAGGCUACGAUGCGUAACUGGUCUGAGAGGGUGAGCAGUAACACUGGAACUGAGACACCGUGCAUAAUCUUACGGGAGGCAGCAGUGGGGAAUAGUGGACAAUGGGGGCAACCCUGCUCCAGCCAUGCCGCGUGUGUGAAGAAGGCCUUAGGGUUGUAAGCACUUUCAGUGGGGAGAAAGGUUUGUCACCUAAUACGUGAUGAAAUUGAUGUUACCCACAGAAGAAGCACCGGCUAACUCCGUGCCAGCCGCCGCAGUAA